rnacentral:rRNA from 1 species
GGGUCAGUAGGUUGGUCGUGCCACCGGUACGUACUGGUCUCACUGAUUCCUCCUUCCUAAAGAACCGUAAUGCCAUUAAUUUGGUGUUGCGGGGAAACAGGACUGUUACUUUGAAAAAAUUAGAGUGUUUAAAGCAAGCUAACGCUUGAAUACAUUAGCAUGGAAUAAUGAAAUAGGACGAUCGAUCAUAUUUUGUUGGUUUCUAGGAUUGACGUA